UGCCAGCCGCCGCGGUAAUACGGAGGGGGUUAGCGUUGUUCGGAAUUACUGGGCGUAAAGCGCACGUAGGCGGAUUAGUCAGUCAGAGGUGAAAUCCCAGGGCUCAACCCUGGAACUGCCUUUGAUACUGCUAGUCUUGAGUUCGAGAGAGGUGAGUGGAAUUCCGAGUGUAGAGGUGAAAUUCGUAGAUAUUCGGAGGAACACCAGUGGCGAAGGCGGCUCACUGGCUCGAUACUGACGCUGAGGUGCGAAGGCGUGGGUAGCGAACGGGAUUAGAUA
rnacentral:rRNA from 1 species